UUGAUCCUGGCUCAGAAUCAACGCUGGCGGCGCGCUUAACACAUGCAAGUCGAACGAGAAAGGGGACAAUCCCUGAGUAAAGUGGCGUACGGGGUGAGUAACACGUGGGUAAUCUGCCUCUGGGUGGGGAAUAACUCUGGGAAACCGGAGCUAAUACCGCAUAAGACCGCAAGGUGAAAGGCGAAAGUCGCCGAGAGAGGAGCCCGCGGCUGAUUAGCUUGAUGGUGGGGUAACGGCCUACCAUGGCAAAGAUCAGUAGCCGGCCUGAGAGGGCACACGGCCACACUGGCACUGAAACACGGGCCAGACUCCUACGGGAGGCAGCAGUGGGGAAUCUUGCACAAUGGGGGAAACCCUGACGCAGCGACGCCGCGUGAACGAUGAAGCCCUUCGGGGUGUAAAGCUCUUUCGGCAGGGACGAUAAUGACGGGACCUCAAG
rnacentral:rRNA from 1 species